GAUGAAGAACGUAGUGAAAUGCGAUACGUAGUGUGAAUUGCAGAAUUCAGUGAAUCAUCGAAUCUUUGAACGCACAUUGCGCCCGCUAGUAUUCUGGCGGGCAUGCCUGUCCGAGCGUCAUUUCAACCCUCAAGCCCCCGGGCUUGGUGUUGGGGAUCGGCGAGCCUCCGCGCCCGCCGUCCCCUAAAUCUAGUGGCGGUCUCGCUGUAGCUUCCUCUGCGUAGUAGCACACCUCGCACUGGGAAACAGCGCGGCCACGCCGUUAAACCCCCAACUUCUGAACGUUUGACCUCGGAUCAGGUAGGAAUACCCGCUGAACUUAAGCAUAUCAAUAAGCGGAGGA
rnacentral:misc_RNA from 1 species